rnacentral:rRNA from 1 species
UACGAAGGGGGCUAGCGUUGUUCGGAAUUACUGGGCGUAAAGCGCACGUAGGCGGAUAUUUAAGUGAGGGGUGAAAUCCCAGGGCUCAACCCUGGAACUGCCUCUCAUACUGGGUAUCUCGAGUUCGAGAGAGGUGAGUGGAAUUGCGAGUGUAGAGGUGAAAUUCGUAGAUAUUCGCAGGAACACCAGUGGCGAAGGCGGCUCACUGGCUCGAUACUGACGCUGAGGUGCGAAAGCGUGGGGGAGCAAACAGG